AUUGAACGCUGGCGGCAUGCCUUACACAUGCAAGUCGAACGGCAGCACGGGUGCUUGCACCUGGUGGCGAGUGGCGAACGGGUGAGUAAUACAUCGGAACGUACCUUAUCGUGGGGGAUAACGCAGCGAAAGCUGUGCUAAUACCGCAUACGCCCUGAGGGGGAAAGCGGGGGAUCGAAAGACCUCGCGCGAUUAGAGCGGCCGAUGCCUGAUUAGCUUGUUGGUGGGGUAAAAGCCCACCAAGGCGACGAUCAGCAGCUGGUCUGAGAGGACGAUCAGCCACACUGGGACUGAGACACGGCCCAGAAUCCUACGGGAGGCAGCAGGGGGGAAUUUUGGACAAUGGGGGCAACCCUGAUCCAGCAAUGCCGCGUGAGUGAAGAAGGCCUUCGGGUUGUAAAGCUCUUUUGUCAGGGAAGAAACACCGGCUCUAACACAGUCCGGGAAUGACGGUACCUGAAGAAUAAGCACCGGCUAACUACGUGCCAGCCGCCGCAGUAA
rnacentral:rRNA from 1 species